GUACUCAAUUCGGCUGCACAUAUACUGAAAUUGGAACAAGACAGAAAAGAUCAGCAUGGCCCCUGUGCAAGGAUAACACACAAAUUCGUGAAGACUUCCAUAUUUUU
rnacentral:snRNA from 1 species